UACUAGAGUAGCACUUGCAUAUCAAUAAGCGGAGGAAAAGAAACUAGCAAGGAUUCCCCUAGUAACGGCGAGUGAAGCGGGAAGAGCUCAAAUUUGAAAUCUUAAAGGGUUUCCCUUUACGAAUUGUAGUUUAAAGAAGUGUUUUCUGUUGAGGUUUUGGUAAAAGUUCUUUGGAAUAGGACAUCAUAGAGGGUGAGAAUCCCGUAUUUGACCUUUACUUUCAACUUUGUGAUACACUUUCAAAGAGUCGGAUUGUUUGGGAAUGCAGUCCAAAAUGGGUGGUAAAUUUCAUCUAAAGCUAAAUAUUGGCGAGAGACCGAUAGCGAACAAGUACCGUGAGGGAAAGAUGAAAAGAACUUUGAAAAGAGAGUUAAACAGUACGUGAAAUUGUCAAAAGGGAAGCGUUUGACACCAGUGUUGUUUUUCUGAAAAUCAAUUAAAGAACUGUUUAUGCUAAGUUGUUUAGACUUUAUCAGCUAUCUGUUUAGUUUUGAGCUUUUCUUUAAUGCACUUUUCAGUUAACAAGUCAACAUCAAUUUCUUUUGCUGUAAAAAAGCUUGAGGAAGGUGGCUUGAGAUUCGUCUUAAGUGUUUAUAGCCUCUUGCCUAUGCAGUCGGAGAGAUUGAGGUCUGCAGCGUAGAUCCUUCGGGGCUAAAUGCAUUUGUGCUAAGUUAUAGCAUUUUAUAGACAACUUGUUGACUAUGAUUUGUCUUGUAGCUUACUCGCUUAUGUUAUUUUACCUACGCUUAGGAUGUUGAGCGCAUGUCUCUCUCU
rnacentral:rRNA from 1 species